UACGUAGGGCGCAAGCGUUGUCCGGAAUUAUUGGGCGUAAAGAGCUCGUAGGCGGCUUGUCACGUCGAUUGUGAAAGCCCGGGGCUCAACCCCGGGUCUGCCGUGCCGACUGUCAAACUCGAGGGCUGUAGAGGCAGACGGAAUUCCGGGUGUAGCGGUGGAAUGCGUAGAGAUCCGGAGGAAGACCGGUGGCGAAGGCGGUCUGCUGGGCAGUUUCUGACACUGAUGCGCGACAGCGUGGGGAGCAAACAGG
rnacentral:rRNA from 1 species